ensembl:lncRNA
AUAUAUAUAUAUAUAUAUAUAUAUAUAUAUAUAUAUAUAUACACAUAUAUAUAUAUAUAUAUAUAUAUAUACACACAUAUAUAUAUACACAUAUAUAUAUAUAUAUAUAUAUAUAUAUAUACACACACACACGCACGCACGCACGCACACACACACACACACACACACACACACACACACACACACACACCACUGUUAAAAUGUUUGGAAUUUUUGGGGUAAUUACAUUUUUUAGCAAGGAUGCAUUAAAUUGAUGUGAUGAAAAGUAAAGGCUUUUUACAUUGUUAUACAAAUUCUAUUUCAAAUAAAUUCUGUUUAACUUCACCAAUAGAUGAAAAAAAAUAUAUUUUUGUUCCACAAAAAUAUUAAGCAGCACUGUUUGUAAUAUUGAUUAAGUAAUGUUUCUUCAGUAUAUCAGAAGGAUUUCUGAAGGAUCAUGACGGAGUAAUGCUGAAGAAUGGAGUAAUGCUGAAAAUUCAGUGUUACAAUCACAGGUAUAAUUUUUGAUCAAAUAAAUGCAGCCUAGAUGAGCAUAAGAAUAUAUAUACUUAAAAAAUCAUUAAAACAUUGAAAAAAACAAUCAUUUGAGCUGUAGUUUAUAACACGUACUGCAUGCCAACUAUUAAUAUUUUGUCUCUUUUCAGGGAGUUUUCAAAGAACCUAUCUGCAACCUGUCAAUCAAACAGAUAGCUCCGCCUCAAACUCACGCUAUUGGAUGAAUGUUGCUCUGUCAGUCAUGCAUCACAGCCAAGAGUCUAAACAGAUGUGACUGAUCACCAGAAUGUUAAAGAGUGUGUCUCGGGUUCCAGGGAAGCAAGAGAACGUUAUGAAAUGUGACUGGGGGCUGGGAGUGUAUCUCUGCUGUGCUGACCAUGUGUGCGGCUUCAGGCGGCUGCUCCCUGUGAAGCAUUUCAUUGGAAACGCACGGGGCCUCAGUUAUCAUCUGUUGAAAGGAUUACAAGCUCCACACAGUCUGGUGCAAAACAAUUUGCAACUGCUUUCAUUCAGAGGAAGGCCUCAAAAACAUUUUCCCGUACAUCAGUAGUGCAACGACCAAGGUUAGCCUACUGAUAACACAGAAACAUUCUUGGAAAAUGUCAAAACCCCAAUAACAAUAUACUAUAUUAUUUACACAAGCUAGACUAACAACCUUCCUUCACCUCUGCUUGUCCUUUCUUUUCAAUGGAUAUAUAGUACAAUGGUAACCGCCCACUGUUUUAUAGUGGCUGUGGUAUUUUUUCACAUUAAAUUUUCUCCAUUAUGAUUUAAAAACAAAACAAAACAAAAAAUCUACAUUUAAAAUAAUAAUAAUCUUAAUAAUUAAAUUAAUUAAUGAGGUAAUUAACUACUCAUCCCAUGAAACAUAGUAAAUGACAUAAUAGAUCAAAGUAAUAGUAUUAAAUAAAAAUAGGUUUAUACUCGUUCAUUAUAAGUAUUAGAAAAAUAUAUUUUGAUAUAGUUUAUUAUAAAAUUCAAAGAGUUGGUAUGUCGGUUAGAGUUUGUAAUGUGCUUUAAAGUCUUUUCUGCUCACCAAGGCUGCAUUUAUUUGAUUAAAAAAUACAGUAAAAGCAAGAAUAUUGUGAAAUAUUAUUACAAUUUAAAAUAACCAUUUUCUAUUUGAAUAUAUUUUAAAAGGUAAUUUAUUACUGUGAUCAAAGCUGAAUUUUAAGUAUGACUAUUUUCCAAUCCAAUUUUAAAGCAACAUUUUAGCAAAGGCUCAUUUUCAAAGUCUCCUAGAGUUACUGUAAACGGUUGAGUUUUACUGUUUUCGAAUCCAUUCAGCCGAUCUCUGGGUCUGGUGGUAGCACUUUUAGCUUAACUUAGCAUAGAUCAUUGAUUCUGAUUAGACCGUUAGCAUCUCACUCAAAAAUGACUAAAGAGUUUCGAUAUAAUUCCUAUUUAAAACUCGGCUGUGUGUGUGUGUGUGUACAAAUAAACAAGUUUUUAAUAUUAUAUAAUAUAUUUAAUAUUAUGUUUUAAUAAACAUUAUUUCUUAUUAUUAUUAAUGUUGAAAACACUUGUUAAGUGUUUAAUAUUUGUGGAAACUGUGAUACAUUUCAAGUCUUUGAUGAAGAGAAAGUUAAAAAUAGCAACAUUUAUUUGAAAUUGUGAUCUUUUGUAGUGUAAAUAUCCUUAUAAAUAAAGAAUUAUAAAUAAAUGCCACUUUGAUAAUUUAA